AGAGGACCAUACAGCUCAGUGGUAGAGCAUCUACUUUCCACGCAGAAAGUCUUAGGUUCAAUCCCCGGUACCUCCA